AUGCCGCCGCCGGCGUCAGCUCCGGGCACCCUCGGGGCCGCGAUGCUCACCGAUAUGAUGCACCACGGGCGUGAACCACACGAGAUAAACGAGAUCUUGGCCCUCUUGCUCUACUGCAUCCACCGCACACUCCCCGACCCGCCCGUCUCCGCCGUCGCUCGCCUCUCCGCCCUCCCCUCCGAUGACCCCAUCGACCGCGUCAGCCGCCUCCCCGACGUGAUACUCCGUCGCAUCGUCUCCCUCCUGCCCAUCAAGGACGCCGCGCGCACCGCCCUGCUCUCCCGCUGCUGGCGCGGGGUCUGGCGUUCCAUCUCGCUCGUCCUCACCGACACGGACCUCUCCCCAUCCCCGGCAGCCUCCGCCCUGUCCCGCGUCCUCGAGGCGCACCCAGGGCCCUUCCGUGCGUCCACCUCACCAGCAGCUACACGGAGGAGUCCAGCCACCUGCUCACGCCCUGGCUCCAGCUCCUCGCCGCCAAGGGGGUAUAGGAGCUCAUCCUCGUCAACCGCCAAGGAGGAGAUCUUCGUGGUGAACGCCCCACGCCUUCAGCGCCUAAUCAAUUUGGAGGGUUGGACCCCCGACACGGGCUGCACCAAGGUCAGGAUCGGCCAUGCCCCUAAGCUGCAAUUGCUGGCCUACUUGCAGUUGGACACAGGGAAUCACGUCUUCAAUGUCGGCAACACCAUCAUCAAGGCUGGGACAAGAGUGAGCCCAAGAACCAUGGUACCAAGUGUGAUAGUCCUGGCUCUGGAGGUGCGUUUCGAUGUACGCAAUGAUGCCAAGAUGAUUCCGAGUGUCCUCGGAUGCUUUCGUAAUGUCGAGACGCUCCACAUCAAGUGUGGAAAAUCUGAUCAAUCCACUGGCAAGCUCAACCUAAAGUCCUGGCAUGACUCUGGUACCGCAGAAUGCAUCCAGUCGUGCAUCAAGGAGCUGAUCUUCCAUGAUUUCCGAGGGGGUCGAAGUGAGCUCGCCUUCCUCAAAUAUUUUGUCGAGAGUGCAUCGGUGCUCAAGCAGGUGUUGCUUCUAUUGUCUGCUGGCUGCACCGUGUAG
rnacentral:rRNA from 1 species